ACUCGGGCUCCUGGAGAACCCACACACCCUGCUGUUCAGGAGCUGAUUAUGGGUUUACCUGACAGCUAUUAAUGCCCAGGAGAUAAGCCCAGUGGAGCGGAUUAGCUCUGCUAUCCUCCUGGAUGAUGGAGCCUCUCUUUGCCCUGCGGAGGAAGCUCAUCCCAACUUCAGAAUCUUUCCCUCAUACCUGCUGGUGAUGGACUGGUUCAUGAUGAGAGUAAAUCAUUGAUUUGGGUUCUGGACCCGUCAGAACCUCCUUUGGUAGCAGUCAGGUUGAACCGGAGCACACCUGUCCACCAGGUGAGCAGCGGUCAUCUUACCUCUCCCUGCCAGGUCUCUGCAGGUCUCCUUCCCGAUGCCCGUGUUCGCACCAGUCACCAGAACCGUUUUCCCAUCCAGCCGGACUGAACAGCGGCACACUCCACCUGCGAUCCACUUCCUGAGCACCACCACACCUGGAGACGGACAGACAGCUGCAGGUCUGAAAAGUAGGACAUGUCCGGGAAAAUGAGGACGUCUGGUCACCCUACCUUUGACCCUUCCGCUUACUGAGUCGGUGGUAG